ACCCGGCUGGCUCAGUUGGUAGAGCAUGAGACUCUUAAUCUCAGGGUUGUGGGUUUGAGCCUCACAUUGGGCA